rnacentral:rRNA from 1 species
UACGAAGGGGCUAGCGUUGCUCGGAAUUACUGGGCGUAAAGCGCACGUAGGCGGCUUUCUAAGUCGGGGUGAAAUCCUGGAGCUCAACUCCAGAACUGCCUUCGAUACUGGAGAGCUUGAGUCCGGGAGAGGUGAGUGGAAUGCAAGUGUAGAGGUGAAUUCGUAGAUAUUGCAAGAACACCAGUGGCGAAGGCGGCUCACUGGCCCGUAAUGACGCUGAGGCA